CAAAAAAAAAAAAAAAAUCCCCUUUUUAAAAAAAAGGGCUUAAACACCACUCACAAAGUACCAGAAACAAUAUUUUUCUUCUUGUAUUUUGCACUCUAGUGAAUGCUACAUUGACCUGUGAAAUAACAGAGCGAGAAAGCAAUACUGAAUCUUUUUAUCAGUCAGCUUAAAAUACCCUCAAUUGGGAGAGGGGGAAAAAAAGAAAAGAAAGGAAAAGACCGCAAAGAUAGGUAUGAGAAAAUGUUGAGAGCUGCAUUCAUGAUUCAUAACCAAAAUUUACUUGACCAGAGGCCAUGCUAACACAAAAAGACUAGAACAUUAAAAGGUUAAAGUUCUCAGGCAUAAACACAAUUUAAGAGAAGUAGCCUGUUAUGGGCACAUGCCCAGUCAAACAUCAAACUAAAUAUCAUUUAUCUUUGUAUUCUAAAAGGUAAAGUACAUAACAAUUAAUUUACCUACUGUUACUAGAUCUAUCAACCCCAAGUCCACCCUCCAACCCCCAAAAAGAAAAAAAUACAAUAAAAAUAUUUGUCAAAAAGAGAGGUUCAGUACGACAAAAAGUUUUGGUUCACUACCAGAAUAAUAAUUCAAGUGCACAUAAAAGUCAAUUUGCUCAACUAGCAGAACAAGCAUUUCUUAAAGUUAAGGGUCUGUUCAUUUGUGGAAAACUGAAGUAAUUUCUAUAAACUUUUCAAACAAAAUUUGAAAAAACAGAGUUUCGUAUUCACAUGUCCUAAUUUUCCAAUGGAUAACUAGAAAACUAGUUCUCUAGUUUUUCAAAAUUUAACUAAAAUUUUAAUUUGUUUUCCACUAUUUUCCUUUAGAAUAAAAGUCCUAUUUUCCAAUUGUUUUCCAAAAAGUAAACAAUGACAUUUUAUAACCAAAAUUAUAUUAUA
rnacentral:misc_RNA from 1 species